rnacentral:lncRNA from 1 species
CUUUCUCAUAGACCAAUGGGCUUGGAGCAUUAAGGCCAUACCCCUAUUAUGCAUUCUAGUGCGACCUUGUUUACACCUCCCCUGGCUCAGUCACACAGCUGUGUGGUAGGCUACUAGAAGUGUUUAGUAGUUGUCACUGGGAUCAUGCUGAUGUGGCCCCAUCCCCGCCUCUCCCUGCCCUGUGAUAUCGGAGGAAACCUGACAGAGCAAAUUGGCCAUGGCCAAGAAAAAGGAAAAGAAAGAGUGCCACCAAAAGCAGGGAGCCCUAAGGGAGCAGUUACAGGAGUCUGAGGAUCUGGCCAGCCGCCUUUAGUAUUCCAGGCAGUGUGUGGGAGAGUUGGAGCAGGCUCUCUGCUGUCUCCACACAGCAGAAGAAAGCAGACAGGGUGACGGAGCUGGACUCCAUCUCAAAACAAACAAACAAACAACAACAAAAAAAAAAACAAAUGAGACCAUGGGCUUGGAAAUGCCUUGAAAAAAUGUCAAGUGUGAUUCAGAGUGAGGAAGUAUUACUGUGGAAUAGUUACUGUAGCUAUUGUUACCGGUCGGCCAACUGCUCCUCUGCCUGCUAUAUCCUGACUUAACCUUGGUCUGUAUUUGCCGUACAACAAGGAGUUAACCAAAGAGAGAGACGCCCUCAGGCUGGAGUUAUACAAGAACAGUUCAUUCCUUUCUCUACUGCUUCUGGCCAUAACCGAAGCAAUGAGGACCUGAAGCAGGAGAAAUCAGAAUUGGAAGAGAAGCUUCAAGUCCUGGUGACUGAGAAGGCUGGCAUGCAGCUUAUUUUAGAAGAGCCGCAAAAGAAAUUACAAAUGAUGGCACUCCUGCUUCAACAGGCUAGGGGUUUUCAAGGCACUGUGAAGCCCCUGAUGCGAAACAGCAGUUACCGCAGGCCAUGGAGGAGCGGGCACAGCUGAAAGCACAUCUAGGGCAGGUAAUGGAGUCAGUUAGAUAACUACAAACGGAGAGAGAUACGUAUGCUGAAAAUCUGAAAGGAGGGAGGGCCAUGUGGUGUCAGAGGAAGCAACAGAUGUCGGAGCAGCAGGGCCCUCCAAGGUGGAGCAGCAGCUACAAGCAGAGGCUGACCACCUGCAGAAGGAGCUGGAGAGUCUGGCAGCUCCGAGCCCAGGAGCAAGACACUGAGGGCUUCAGUCACCCGAACCAGGAGUAGGAGGAGAGGCUGCUGGAGCUGGAGCAGGUGGCCGAGCUCUUGCGGGAGCAGGCAGAGUCACGCAGGCAAAUCCUGGAGACCAUGCAGAACAAAUGCACCACCAUCAGCCACGUGCUCACCCAGAACCACAAGCUCAAAGAGCAGCUGUCUCCGCUGCAGAACGGAUUCAUAAAGCUGGUGCCACGGGAGGCAGACACCAAGUUCUGGGGUCUCCAGCUGCAGUGGGUGGCCGCCAAUUGCUUCUCUCUGUCCAGACUAAUGAGAACAUGGAGAUCACCAGUGCACUGCAGUUGGAAUAGCACGUAAAGAGGGAGCUGGGAAAGAAGCUGGGCAAGCUAAAGGACAUGGUAACCCUGCCCCAUCCAAGAAGAGCUGGAAGGCGGGCACCAGCCUCUGGGGAGGGGAGGUGUGAAGCCAGAGGCAGCUCCAGCCUGGGGGACAGGUGACCCCAGCACCCUCCAGGGCAGUCCUGUGACUGUUUCUUGCUUCCCGCCCUCUGACAUUUAGUGGUGGGUUCGUUCUUCCUAGGUCUGGACAUCAUCAUCCCAGCUGGAGUCAUGGAGCCUCCCAAACAUAGGGAAAGAGAUGGUGGUAUAAGAGGUUCCUUAGAGUCAAACUAGAUUCCGGCCUUGGCUCCACUGGUCACCUACUUUUCAUCUCUAAGUCUCGGUUUCUUUAACUUAAAAGGGAAGUUAGCACCUUCCUCUUGGAGGUGCUGAGGAUUAAAUGAGAUAAUACGUGGAAAGCAUUAGGCAUGUAGCACAGUUAGCAGAUGGUGGUUGGCUCCCUCUGCUUUUCCAUCAGUCUGUGGCCUAGUUUAAAUGGUGGGAGGAAGGGUGUGAGAUUUAAGGCUGGUUGUAAGGGAUCAGUCAGUGUAGUUGGAAAAAUUGUAAGAUGAAGUUAUAGGAUAUAGACACAAACCUUCCUGGAAGGCCAGAAAGUCUGCAUAGCUUCAAUAAAGGAUUUGGCUGAAAGCAGCGUAAUCCCCUUUACCUUGAGUUGAUAGCAAUAGAGCAAAUAACAUGGGAACGUGGGGGAGUUUAUUGAAUAGCUUGUUUACUCAUGUGGUCCUAAGACCAACCUUUGAUUAUCCACGGGUGCAUGAUUGCUCUCUACUCGGUGGUCGGCAAAUUUAAUUACCCACAGGUGUGUUGACUCAAAGCCUCUGUCAUUAAAUCUAUGCUGAAUAAAUGCCGUCAGGGCCAGCUAGUCAAGGUGCACAACUCUUUUUGUGCGUGGUGUGGCCCCUUAGCUGCUCUGUCACUGAA